rnacentral:lncRNA from 1 species
AGCGGGAGCCCUGUCCCCCGUGGGGCGGGAUCCUGGGUGCUUUGUGAGAGCUUAUUGCCACUCGACCCUUCUGUUGCCAGACCUCUCAGCAAUCACGUGUGCCCUCCUACAGACCAGGAAACCGAGGCUCAGAGUAGGGCAGGCCACACAGGUUCAUCUGCAUCUUUACUCUCCUCCCCUCUCCUCCGUGAGCCGGGGAUCACGUCUCCCUCCCCCGGCUCUCAGCACCUGCAACAGACCCCGGCAGGCGAAGACGGAGGGGAGUGGGCAACGCAGAGCAUCUCGCCCGUGGUGGUCUCACCGGGCAGGAACGGAGCAAAGAAGGGCAGCUUCUCCGUGGCUCCCAGAGCCCCAGACGUGGAAACUUAAGACCAUCUUUCGGACUCAAGGAGUCCAAGUCCCCCCUUUACGGAUGAAGAAAACGAGGGCCCCAAAAAGGAUGAGCCCCAUCCAGGGCACCAUCCAGGUAAGGGACAGACCAGAAACCAGCAGAGCCAGUCCGGAGGACCUGAGGUUGGCACGCCACAUGAACGAAGGCCAGCAGGCUGAAGAGAGCUGAGGCUGGAGAGGGGGCUGGGGCUGGGCCAGGCAAGGAGUCUGGACUCGAGGCCAGAGCGAUGGGAAGUCGUUGGACUGGAAAGGUCUAUGAACCACCUGGCUUCGGUUCUUACAGGACCCAUCUGGCGGCCGGGGACUGACUGGCCUGCAGGAGGGCGGGUGGGACAGGAACAGGGACACCCAGGAAGGGGAGCUGACCCUGUGACCCCCUGCUGACUCGACCUCACCGCUCAGAGGGCUGAGGGUCCCUCAGUGGGCGUGUCUUAGCCUGAGCUCCUGAGUUCCACCCCCAAAUCCGCCCCUCCCACUGCCUUCCCAUCUCGAGAAACACAAACUCCAUUCUUCCCCUUGCUCAGGCCAAAAACCUCGGGGUGCCCCAUCCCCGCUUUCUUUCACCCCUGCACCUGAUCCCACAGCAAGUCCCUUUGGUUCCGCCUUCAAAAUAUAACGGGAAUAUAACCACUUCUCUGCUGCUGCCCCCCCCCGCCCCUCCCCCCAGCCUCCCCCCCCAGGUCACCAGGGCGGCUGCACAGGCCUCUGCCUGCCCCCAACCUUGCCCCACACUGUUCCCUCCAUUAGGUGGCCGGGCGGCGGAGGGAGGAGGGAACUGCUAAAAAAAGUUGGAGCACGUCCCUCGGUCUCCAAAGCCUCUGGUGGCUCCCCACCUCCCUCAGAGGGAAGCCCUGACCUUGGCCUCUGAGGCGCCCACGCCCUGGCCCCCAGGCCCUGCCUGGCCCUCUCUCCCGCCGCCGUCUCACCCUCAUCCUGUGCCAUCUCACCCUCAUCCUGUGCCGCAGCCCACCCUCUUCCUUGCUGUGUUAGUCUUCAUGCCUCAAGCCAUUUGCACGGCCGCACUGUCUGCCUGGAAUGCCCUCCGCAGACGUCUGCCGUGCCGGCUCUGGCACCUCCUUUAUGUCAUCAGGUGGCACCUUCUCAGGAGGCCUCCGUGACCACCCCACCUAAAACG